UCGGCGCAGUCAGGCCCCACGUCUGCCCAAGGCCGGAGAAACCAUCCACGGCCACAGGUUCUUCACUGGCUAUGGGGGCAAAGGCGCCAAUCAGUGUGUCCAGGCAGCGCGCCUCGGGGCUCGGACAGUCAUGGUGUGCAAGGUGGGGAAGGACUUCUUCGGAGACAGUUAUAUCCAGAAUUUCAGGAACAAUGGCGUGUCCACAGAGUUCUCUGGACAGACAGACAGAGCUGCGACAGGAGCUGCUUCCAUUGUCGUCAAUGAUGAAGG